UAAGAAGUUCUAAGUCUGAAGCUCAUAUCCUUUCUCUUAAGAACACAGAACUUCACAACUUUAGAGGCUGAAAACUCUUAUGAUGAGCCACCAGAACGGCAGCCGUCUGUCUGCAAGCAUAGCAAUAAGCUUAAAAGGUUCAUAUCACAUGGCUUCUGCUACACUUCCCCCAAGAGCGUCACAGCGGUUUAAUCAAGAAAGCGGCAUCAGCUGUGAGGAAUUGGAAUAAAACUCUUUAAGAAAUGAUCCACAA